CCGCGAAUCGCCCUUCGGGGUGCAGCAGGCGCGAAAACUUUACAAUGCGGGAAACCGUGAUAAGGGGACACCGAGUGCCAGCAUCAUAUGCUGGCUGUCCAGGUGUGUAAAAUACACCUGUUAGCAAGGGCCGGGCAAGACCGGUGCCAGCCGCCGCGGUAACACCGGCGGCCCGAGUGGUGAUCGUGAUUAUUGGGUCUAAAGGGUCCGUAGCCGGUUUGGUCAGUCCUCCGGGAAAUCUGACGGCUCAACCGUUAGGCUUUCGGGGGAUACUGCCAGGCUUGGAACCGGGAGAGGUAAGAGGUACUACAGGGGUAGGAGUGAAAUCUUGUAAUCCCUGUGAGACCACCUGUGGCGAAGGCGUCUUACCAGAACGGGUUCGACGGUGAGGGACGAAAGCUGGGGGCACGAACCGGAUUAGAUACCCGGGUAGUCCCAGCCGUAAACGAUGCUCGCUAGGUGUCAGGCAUGGCGCGACCGUGUCUGGUGCCGCAGGGAAGCCGUGAAGCGAGCCACCUGGGAAGUACGGCCGCAAGGCUGAAACUUAAAGGAAUUGGCGGGGGAGCAC
rnacentral:rRNA from 1 species